UACAGAGGGGGCGAGCGUUGUUCGGAAUUACUGGGCGUAAAGGGCGCGUAGGCGGCCCGCUAAGUCGAACGUGAAAUCCCCAGGCUCAACCUGGGAACUGCGUCCGAUACUGGCAGGCUUGAAUCCGGGAGAGGGAUGUGGAAUUCCAGGUGUAGCGGUGAAAUGCGUAGAUAUCGGGAGGAACACCGGUGGCGGAGGCGGGUCUCUGGGCAAUUCCUGACGCUGAGGCGCGAAAGCGUGGGGAGCAAACGGG
rnacentral:rRNA from 1 species